UACGUAGGGUGCGAGCGUUAAUCGGAAUUACUGGGCGUAAAGCGUGCGCAGGCGGUCUUGCAAGACAGAUGUGAAAUCCCCGGGCUCCAACCUGGGAACUGCAUUUGUGACUGCAAGGCUAGAGUACGGUAGAGGGGGAUGGAAUUCCGCGUGUAGCAGUGAAAUGCGUAGAUAUGCGGAGGAACACCGAUGGCGAAGGCAAUCCCCUGGACCUGUACUGACGCUCAUGCACGAAAGCGUGGGGAGCAAACAGG
rnacentral:rRNA from 1 species